rnacentral:rRNA from 1 species
UAGGGAAUCUUCCGCAAUGGGCGAAAGCCUGACGGAGCAAUGCCGCGUGAGUGAAGAAGGCCUUCGGGUCGUAAAACUCUGUUAUAAGAGAAGAACAAAUUGUAGAGUAACUGCUACAGUCUUGACGGUAUCUUAUCAGAAAGCUACGGCUAACUACGUGCCAGCAGCCGCGGUAAUACGUAGGUGGCAAGCGUUGUCCGGAUUUAUUGGGCGUAAAGGGAGCGCAGGUGGUUUCUUAAGUCUGAUGUGAAAGCCCACGGCUUAACCGUGGAGGGUCAUUGGAAACUGGGAAACUUGAGUACAGAAGAGGAAUGUGGAACUCCAUGUGUAGCGGUGGAAUGCGUAGAUAUAUGGAAGAACACCAGUGGCGAAGGCGACAUUCUGGUCUGUUACUGACACUGAGGCUCGAAAGCGUGGGGAGCAAACAGG